rnacentral:rRNA from 1 species
ACGGAAGGCAGCAGUGGGGAAUAUUGGACAAUGGGGGAAACCCUGAUGCAGCAACGCCACGUGUGGGAAGAAGCAUUUCGGUGUGUAAACCACUGUCGUGAAGGAAUAAGGCUUAUUUUCGGAUAAGUUGAAUGUACUUUGAAAGGAAGCACCGGCAAACUUCGUGCCAGCAGCCGCGGUAAUACGAGGGGUGUAAGCGGUGUUCGGAAUCACUGGGCGUAAAGGGAGCGCAGGCGGAGAUGCAAGCAGUCUGUACAAUACCGGGGCCCAACCCCGGACCUGCAGACUGGACUGUUUCGCUUGGAUAGCUCAGGGGCUGGCGGAAUUCCUGGUGUAGCGGUGGAAUGCGUAGAGAUCAGGAAGAACACCGAUGGCGAAGGCAGCCAGCUGGGGGCUUAUCGACGCUCAUGCUCGAAAGUGCGGGUAGCAAACAGGAUUAGAUACCCUGGUA